GAGAGUUCUUACCUGCAAUACUCGAGUUCCUUCGCCUUGGAUCGAAAAGGAGGGAGACACAAAGAGUUAAUGGCUGGUGGAGGAUUUGCAGAUGGAGGAACCCUCAAAAGGGCUCAUCUCUACGAAUAUAAGAUCACCGGUUACUUCAUAUUCGCUUGCAUAGUUGCAGCUCUUGGAGGAUCCCUUUUUGGGUAUGAUCUUGGUGUUUCUGGCGGUGUCACUUCCAUGGAUGAUUUCUUGAAAGACUUCUUCCCGAAAGUGUAUAGAAGGAAGCAAGAACAUCUCCAUGAGACAGAUUACUGUAAAUACGAUAGCCAAAUACUCACACUCUUUACAUCCUCAUUGUACUUUGCUGCUCUUGUUUCCACAUUUGGAGCCUCCCAUGUUACCAGAAACAAAGGACGAAGAGCCAGCAUUAUUGUUGGAUCAAUAAGCUUCUUUUUAGGAGCAGUCCUCAAUGCAGCUGCAGUGAACAUUUCAAUGUUGAUCAUAGGACGAAUCCUGCUUGGUGUAGGCAUUGGAUUUGGCAACCAAGCAGUUCCCUUGUAUCUUUCAGAAAUGGCUCCUGCAAAAGUGCGUGGAGCAGUUAACCAAUUGUUCCAAUUGACAACCUGUUUAGGAAUCCUGAUUGCCAACCUAAUAAAUUAUGGAACUGAAAAAAUCCAUCCAUGGGGAUGGAGGUUAUCUCUUGGUUUAGCCACAGUUCCUGCGACUCUAAUGUUUGUUGGGGGAGUUUUCCUCCCUGAGACUCCCAACAGUCUUGUAGAACAAGGCAGAUUAGAAGAAGGAAGAAAAGUAUUGGAGAAAAUUAGAGGGACAGCAAAAGUUGAUGCUGAAUUUGCUGAUCUUAUUGAUGCAAGCAAUGCUGCAAGAGCCAUAGAGCACCCGUUUAAGAACCUUCUCAAGAGAAAGAAUCGCCCCCAAUUAAUAAUAGGGGCUUUGGGAAUCCCUGCAUUUCAACAGCUUACUGGCAUGAAUUCUAUACUCUUCUAUGCUCCUGUAAUAUUUCAGAGCUUGGGUUUUGGUUCUGGGGCAUCUCUAUAUUCAUCCGUCAUAACCAGCGGAGCACUUGUUGUCGGUGCCCUCAUUUCAAUGGCUUUAGUUGACAAAUUUGGAAGAAGAGCUUUCUUUCUGGAAGCUGGAACUGAGAUGUUCUGCUUCAUGGUGGCUGUGGCUAUAACUUUGGCGCUGAAGUUUGGACAAGGGGUAACCCUCCCAAAAGGAAUUGGCAUCUUCCUUGUGAUAAUCAUUUGCUUGUUUGUCUUGGCAUAUGGAAGAUCUUGGGGCCCUCUUGGUUGGCUGGUUCCGAGCGAGAUCUUCCCACUGGAGACGAGAUCAGCUGGCCAGAGUAUGGUGGUCUGUGUCAACAUGCUCUUCACAGCUCUGAUAGCACAGUGUUUCCUGGUGUCACUCUGCCACCUUCGAUAUGGAAUCUUUUUGCUGUUUGCUGGCUUGAUUUUGAUAAUGAGCAGCUUCAUAUUCUUCUUGCUGCCAGAAACAAAGCAAGUGCCAAUUGAAGAGGUAUAUCUUCUCUGGCAAAAUCAUUGGUUCUGGAAGCGCAUAGUGGGAGAUGGGGACCAAGUUGAACCAGAUGGCAAGCUAGGCUCGCAAGUUUAAAUUAUCUCCUCAAAUGGGGAAAAGAAAACAUUAUUUCCUGUUUGUGAGUUAAAGAAAGUACUUGAUACAACAAAUCCUUAAUCCUAACUAAUUGAAGUCUGGCUACCGCAAGUUGUAAUUUAGAAUACAUUUCUUUCUUGAUAGCAGACAUUUUAAUCAAAGUUGAUGUUAAAUUCAGAAUUAAACUUAACAAUAAAACCCAAUUGCUUCCCUUA
rnacentral:misc_RNA from 1 species